GCCGGCGGCGCUCCUGCCCGCUGAUUCGCAGCUGCCCGCGGCUCCCACGCUCUACUGCCCGGGUCCCUGCCCCGCGAGGCGCCCAAUUACCCGCUUACCUUCUGCCCUCACACCUGGCCUCCCGAAAGGCGCUUUCGUUGUCUCCGCCAGGCGGUGCAGUAGCUGAUGGAGAUGAAAGGCGUGAGGAGCUGCUUUGAGGACCAAAGCCGCGACAUCCCACCACCUGGCCAAGAGCACUGUUCGUGACCGACCCCUUGCCCUAAAUACCCGUCUGUAUUGCUCGGGACCCGCAGGAGCGACUCUCUGAAAGCGGCUGGCUCUGUGGGCCGGGGCGCUUCCCAGGGACUGGCCGCUGCUAUGUCUUUGCUUUAGGAGCCGAAGUGAAGCGACGGAAGACUGCUGUUGGUGCCUCCUGCGGUACCUGAACACGGGAGCGACCGGCGCGGGAUGCAGGGCGGUGACGCUAAAGCUUGUGCUUCUUUCUUCAGUGAAGGGACACAGCCACCUUGAGUUCCUGGACAGGAAAAGGGCUUCGAACGCCAAGAGCAAGGAUGGAGGCACUGAGAUGGAAAGCAGUUUUCAGCAAAGGAGGAAAAGCUUGGGAGCCUGGCAUUCACAGGGGUGUCUGUGGGCAUGUCUGCCCGAGGUCUGGGAGCAGGAAUGACAAGAGACCUCACACUCGGCAGCCUGGGGGCAGCUCCGGGGACCAGGAGCCGGGCCUUCGGAAGGAAAGAUCCCCGGGUCCCGGAGACAGCGGCUACACCGCACAGGGCAGACGACCCGACUCCAACUGAACAGGUACGGCUGAAAGAGACCUCACGUGCCCUGGGUGGCACUGCACUGACCGACAGCUCUCAUCCCACAUUUGCCUGAACCCAGAGAAUGACAACGCCAAGAGCGAGCCCUGCUGCAGACCGUGGACUCUGGUCGUCUGGGUAGGUUCUGAGUGUGUGUGUGGGGGGGGGGGGGGCGCGUUGGUAAUGGGGAGACUGUGCGAGCGGGGACAUGGGUGGACUUUAUUGGGAACCCCUGGACUUUCCUGUCCAUGUUGCUGUGAACCUUCAACUGCACCAAAAACUAAAAUCUAUUAAAAAAUACGUUAUAACCGCCACUUAGGAUAAUGCAGAUUUUCUUGCUCUUUCCAGAACCUCCAGAGACAGCUGUAAGAAAAUGAAUUGACUUUUGCUCAAAACACAGAAAUCCUCAGAACCAAAAAUAAUCCCAGGAAGGAAAUAAAAUACAAGACACGCAGAACUCCGCA
rnacentral:lncRNA from 1 species